rnacentral:rRNA from 1 species
AAUAUUGGCCAAUGGGCGAAAGCCUGAUCCAGCCAUGCCGCGUGUGUGAAGAAGGUCUUCGGAUUGUAAAGCACUUUAAGUUGGGAGGAAGGGUUGUAGGUUAAUACCCUGCAAUUUUGACGUUAUCAACAGAAUAAGCACCGGCCAACUUCGUGCCGGCGGCCGCAGUAAUACGAAGGGUGCAAGCGUUAAUCGGAAUUACUGGGCUUAAAGGGGGCGUAGGUGGUUCGUUAAGUUGGAAGUGGAAGCCCCGGGCUUAACCUGGGAAUUGCUUUCAAAACUGACGAGCUAGAGUAUGGCAGAGGGUGGUGGAAUUUCCUGUGUAGCGGUGGAAUGCGUAGAUAUAGGAAGGAACACCAGUGGCGAAGGCGACCACCUGGGCUAAUACUGACACUGAGGUGCGAAAGCGUGGGGAGCAAACAG